rnacentral:tRNA from 1 species
GGAAGUGGAUAGGAUCUGGUGGUCCUUGCGGACUUCAAAUCCGUGGUCCCCCUGGUUGGCCAGGGGGAGGUGGGUUCGAUUCCCACCCCUUCCGC